rnacentral:rRNA from 1 species
CUACGGGUGGCAGCAGUGAGGAAUUUUGCGCAAUGGGGGAAACCCUGACGCAGCAACGCCGCGUGAGUGAAGAAGGCCCUUGGGUCGUAAAGCUCUGUCAAUGGGGAAGAAGUUAUUAUGUGUUAAUAGCACAUUUUAUUGACGGUACCCAUGAAGGAAGCACCGGCUAACUCCGUGCCAGCAGCCGCGGUAAUACGGGGGGUGCAAGCGUUAUUCGGAAUUAUUGGGCGUAAAGGGCACGCAGGCGGUCCUGUCAGUCAGAUGUGAAAGCCCGGGGCUCAACCCCGGACGUGCAUUUGAAACAGCAGGACUUGAGUACGGGAGAGGAAAGGGGAAUUCCUGGUGUAGAGGUGAAAUUCGUAGAUAUCAGGAGGAACACCGGUGGCGAAGGCGCCUUUCUGGACCGAUACUGACGCUGAGGUGCGAAGGCGUGGGUAGCGAACGGGAUUAGAUACCCGCGUAGUC